rnacentral:lncRNA from 1 species
AUCUGCUUAAGGUUAACAUGAUUGAAAUUUUCCAAAGCAUGAAUAUUUUCUCUGUAGAACAUCAUAGAAUGUCUUCUAAACAGUGUAGCUCUAAUUUGGAAGUGGUGGUUGUACAAGGAACAGGAUAAAAAUGCAAAUGAAAAGUAUAUAAGUCUUAUUGUUUCUUGCAUGUGGCUUUGACAAAUCCGUGCUAGUAUACUGAAGUAUGUUUUGUUUUGCUAUUAAAAAAAAUUGUCACUCCCACCCACCUGCAAAUGUUUGUGUAAGUGAACUACGUUUAGCAAGACUGAAGUGUUUUGUAUGACUUCACUUACAAGAAACACAGUCAGAUUCAGGACAUGAACUAACUACAGUAACUUAGGAUCAUAGAAUCCCCAAGGUUGGAAGAGACUUCCAAGAUCAUCCAGUCCAGCUGCCUGUCUAUCAACAAUAUUUCCCACUAAACCACAUCCCUCAGUACAAUAUGAAAUGUUUUUUGAGCACCUAACUUGGUUUGUUUUGAAGUUUAGAAGAUUAACUCGUCUGUAUUGCUGGAGCAUUCUCUGUGACUGAUGGAACAGUGAAGAUAAUGUGGAAAGGAAAAGAGACCAGAUGUUGAAUAAAUACAAUUGCAUUCUGUUGCUGUUAUUUUCCUCUGCAGAUCAAUAAGAUGACCAGAUUCUUUACUCUUAAAAUUCUUAAGCAGUAAAGAGUAAAUGUAUGAUACCAGGCUCACUUCUCUAUUUUGUUUUGUCUUUAAUGCUCAGGAUUGUGUUGAAGGUUCAGUUUCUGCUACAAAACAGAGAACAGGCUCCAUUGGAGAUCGCCCAGCAAGACCGACUCUUUUAGAACAAGUAUUGAAUAAAAAGAGACUGUCCCUGCUCAGAAGUCCAGAAGUAGUGCAGUUUCUACAGAAACAACAGCAGCUGUUAAGUCAGCAGGCUUUGGAACAACGGCAGCAGCAGUUUCAAGGAGCACCCGGGUAAUGAGAACAGAUCAUGACCUGCAGAUGAGUCUGGUUCUGAAGGAGGAAUAGGAUGUAUAUUUUCUUCAAAUAUAAAAAAUGUAAAUGUUUAAAGGAGAAGUAAAGCUGCUGUCAUGUAUUUUACUUGGUUCUUGUUUGCACUUUGACGUUUUGAGCUGCUUGGGUGUCUGCGAACUUGUGAGCAAAUCUGGAAUAUUUUUUGAUUCUUUUUAAAACUUAGUUUGAUUUUUCUUUUUAAUGGAAAUCUGUUUAUGUCAGUAAUGUUUAGCUGUACACCCUUUUCCUACCAAAGUCUUCCACUAGAUUAACAUUUUUCUAUAUGAAGAUUUACUGUUAAACAAGUCACUCUUUGAUGACAAUCAUUGAAGGAAGUCAGUUACUUUCUAUGGAAGUUGUGAAAUAAAGUCCAAUUUGAGCCAGUCCUGUGGCA